UACAGAGCGGAGAGAGUGAGGAGGCUGCGUCUGGCUCCCGCUCUCACAGCCAUUGCAGUACAUUGAGCUCCAUAGAGACAGCGCCGGGGCAAGCGAGAGCCGGACGGGCACUGGGCGACUCUGUGCCUCGCGGAGGAAAAUCAACUAAACAUGGGCAAAGGAGAUCCUAAGAAGCCGAGAGGCAAAAUGUCCUCAUAUGCAUUCUUGGUGCAAACCUGCCGGGAGGAGCACAAGAAGAAGCACCCAGAUGCUUCUGUCAACUUCUCAGAGUUCUCCAAGAAGUGCUCAGAGAGGUGGAAGACUAUGUCUGCUAAAGAAAAGGGGAAAUUUGAAGAUAUGGCAAAGGCUGACAAGGCUCGUUAUGAAAGAGAAAUGAAAACCUACAUCCCUCCCAAAGGGGAGACCAAAAAGAAGUUCAAGGACCCCAAUGCACCCAAGAGGCCUCCUUCGGCCUUCUUCUUGUUCUGUUCUGAGUACCGCCCAAAAAUCAAAGGCGAGCAUCCUGGCUUAUCCAUUGGUGAUGUUGCAAAGAAGCUAGGAGAGAUGUGGAACAACACUGCAGCGGAUGACAAGCAGCCCUACGAGAAGAAGGCUGCCAAGCUGAAGGAGAAGUAUGAGAAGGAUAUUGCUGCCUACAGAGCUAAAGGAAAACCUGAUGCAGCAAAAAAGGGGGUAGUCAAGGCUGAAAAGAGCAAGAAAAAGAAGGAAGAGGAAGAUGAUGAGGAAGAUGAAGAGGAUGAGGAAGAGGAGGAAGAAGAGGAAGACGAAGAUGAAGAAGAAGAUGAUGAUGAUGAAUAAGUUGGUUCUAGCGCAGUUUUUUUCUUGUCUAUAAAGCAUUUAACCCCCCUGUACACAACUCACUCCUUUUAAAGAAAAAAAUUGAAAUGUAAGGCUGUGUAAGAUUUGUUUUUAAACUGUACAGUGUCUUUUUUUGUAUAGUUAACACACUACCGAAUGUGUCUUUAGAUAGCCCUGUCCUGGUGGUAUUUUCAAUAGCCACUAACCUUGCCUGGUACAGUCUGGGGGUUGUAAAUUGGCAUGGAAAUUUAAAGCAGGUUCUUGUUGGUGCACAGCACAAAUUAGUUAUAUAUGGGGACAGUAGUUUGGUUUUUGUUUUUCUUUUCUUUUGGUUUUAUUUUUGGGUUUUUUUUUCCAUCUUCAGUUGUCUCUGAUGCAGCUUAUACGAAGAUAAUUGUUGUUCUGUUAACUGAAUACCACUCUGUAAUUGCAAAAAAAAAAAUUGCGGCUGUUUUGUUGACAUUCUGAAUGCUUCUAAGUAAAUACAAUUUUUU